GACGAACGCUGGCGGCGUGCUUAACACAUGCAAGUCGAACGGAAAGGCCCUGCUUGCAGGGUACUCGAGUGGCGAACGGGUGAGUAACACGUGGGUGAUCUGCCCUGCACUUCGGGAUAAGCCUGGGAAACUGGGUCUAAUACCGGAUAGGAGCCAUUUUUAGUGUGAUGGUUGGAAAGUUUUUUCGGUGUAGGAUGAGCUCGCGGCCUAUCAGCUUGUUGGUGGGGUAAUGGCCUACCAAGGCGGCGACGGGUAGCCGGCCUGAGAGGGUGGACGGCCACAUUGGGACUGAGAUACGGCCCAGACUCCUACGGGAGGCAGCAGUGGGGAAUAUUGCACAAUGGGCGCAAGCCUGAUGCAGCGACGCCGCGUGGGGGAUGACGGCCUUCGGGUUGUAAACUCCUUUCGCUAGGACGAAGCUUUUUGUGACGGUACCUAGAUAAGAAGCACCGGCUAACUACGUG
rnacentral:rRNA from 1 species